AGGGUUAUUCUAUCUACUACCUAAGAUCCACAAACCUGGAAAUCCUGGACGCCCCAUCAUCUCGGGCAUUGGCACUCUCACUGAAGGACUGUCUGGAUAUGUGGACUCCCUACUCAGACCCUAUGCCACCAGCACUCCCAGCUAUCUCUGUGACACCACUGAUUUCCUGAGAAAACUACAAUGUAUUGGUGAUCUCCCAGAAAACACCAUCCUAGCCACCAUGGAUGUGGAGGCUCUCUACACAAACAUCCCACACACAGAUGGAAUACAAGCUGUCAGGAACAGUAUCCCUGAUGAUGACACAGCACAACUUGUUGCUGAGCUCUGUGACUUUAUCUUCACGCACAAUUAUUUCAAAUUUGGUGACAAUAUAUACCUCCAGACCAUGGCCCCACAAUAUGCCAACAUUUUUAUGGCUGACCUGGAACAACGCUUCCUCAGCUCUGGUCCACUCACGCCCCUUCUCUACCUACCCUACAUUGACGGCAUCUUCAUCCCAUAUAAAUAGGAAGAAAACAAAGAAAGAAGAAGUGGGACCGCUUAAGACUGUAGAUGGAGUGGAGAUUAAGGAUAAUCUAGGCAUGGCACAAUAUCUAAAUGAAUAUUUUGCAUCGGUAUUUAAUGAGGCUAAUGAAGGGCUGAGGAAUAGGGGAAGCGAGACGGAUGGGAAUAACGGAGUGGGGGUUGACAUUACCGUAUCCGAGGUAGGAGCCAAACUCGAACAGCUUAACGGGACUAAAUCGGGCGGACCGGAUGAUCUUCAUCCAAGAAUAUUAAAAGAACUGGCACGAGAAAUUGCAAGCCCGUUAGCGAUAAUUUUUAAUGAAUCUGUAAACUUGGGGGUGGUACCGUUUGACUGGAGAAUAGCUAAUGUGGUUCCUAUUUUCAAGGAGGGGAAAAAAAGUGACCCGGGUAACUACAGGCCUGUUAGUUUAACAUCUGUAAUAUGCAAGGUCUUGGAAAAAAUUUUGAAGGAGAAAGUAGUUAAGGACCUUGAGGUCAAUGCCAAUUGGGACAAAUUACAACACGGUUUUACGAAAGGUAGAUCAUGCCAAACCAACCUGAUCUCCUCCUUUGAGAAAGUAACAGAUUUUUUAGAUAAAGGAAAUGCGGUGGAUCUAAUAUACCUCGAUUUCAGUAAAGCGUUGGAUACGAUACCGCAUGAGGAAUUAUUGGUUAAAUUGGAAAAGAUGGGGAUCGAUAUGAAAAUCCAGAGGUGGAUAAAGAACUGGUUAAAGGGGAGACUGCAGCGGGUCGUACUGAAAAGGUGAACUGUCAGGUUGGAGGGAGGUUACCAGUGGAGUUCCUCAAGGUUCAGUUUUGGGUCCGAUUUUAUUUAAUCUAUUCAUUACUGACCUCGGAACCAAAU
rnacentral:lncRNA from 1 species